UGCCAGCAGCCGCGGUAAUACAGAGACUGCAAGCGUUAUUCGGAUUCACUGGGCGUAAAGGGUGCGCAGGCGGCCAAGUGUGUUAGGCGUGAAAGCCCGAGGCUUAACCUCGGAAUUGCACCUAAAACUACAUGGCUAGAGUACUGGAGAGGGUAACGGAAUUCACGGUGUAGCAGUGAAAUGCGUAGAUAUCGUGAGGAACACCAGAGGCGAAGGCGGUUACCUGGACAGUUACUGACGCUCAGGCACGAAAGCGUGGGGAGCAAAAGGGAUUAGAUACCCCUGUAGUCCACGCCCUAAACGGUGCACACUAGGUCUUGGCGGAUUCGACCCCGCCAGGGCCCAAGCUAACGCGUUAAGUGUGCCGCCUGAGGACUACGGCCGCAAGGCUAAAACUCAAAGGAAUUGACGGGGGCCCGCACAAGA
rnacentral:rRNA from 1 species